rnacentral:rRNA from 1 species
AGUCGAGCGAGAAGUUACUGAUUGAAGCUUCGGCCGAUUUCAGUGAUGGACAGCGGCGGAAGGGAGAGUAACGCGUGGAUUAUCUGCCCCCGAGACCGGGAUAGCCGCGGGAAACUGCGGGUAAUACCGGAUAAUAUCUCCGGAUCAAAUGGUGUGAUUCCGCUUGGGGAUGAGUUCGCGUCCUACUAGCUUGUUGGUGGGGUAACGGCCUACCAAGGCUAUGAUGGGUACCGGGUGUGAGAGCAUGGCCCGGCUCACUGGGACUGAGACACUGCCCAGACACCUACGGGUGGCUGCAGUCGAGAAUCUUCGGCAAUGGGCGAAAGCCUGACCGAGCGACGCCGCGUGCGGGAUGAAGGCCUUCGGGUUGUAAACCGCUGUCAGAGGGGAUGAAAUGCGCGGGGGUUAUCCCCCACGUUUGACAUAUCCUCAGAGGAAGGACGGGCUAAGUUCGUGCCAGCAGCCGCGGUAAGACGAACCGUCCAAACGUUAUUCGGAAUCACUGGGCUUAAAGGGUGCGUAGGCGGCCUGGCAAGUUGGGUGUGAAAUCCCUCGGCUCAACCGAGGAACUGCGCCCAAAACUGCCAGACUCGAGGGAGAUAGAGGUGAGCG